rnacentral:rRNA from 1 species
UGCCGGCGACCGGCGGACGGGUGCGUAACGCGUAUGUAACCUACCUUUGACAGGGGGAUAACAUCGAGAAAUUGGUACUAAUACCCCAUAACAUCACCGGAGGCAUCUUCGGUGGUUGAAAACUCAGGUGGUCAGAGAUGGACAUGCGUUGUAUUAGCUAGUUGGCGGGGCGACGGCCCACCAAGGCGACGAUGUCUAGGGGUUCUGAGAGGAAGGUCCCCCACACUGGUACUGAGACACGGACCAGACUCCUACGGGAGGCAGCAG